rnacentral:lncRNA from 1 species
GUUUCUCAGGAUAUUUUUAACUUGCAGAGACAGGUACAGUAACUACUGUAAUUUAUAUUAACAAUAUAUAUAUAUUAACAAAAUUUUAUUUUAGUUAAUCUUGCUGAUGCAAUAAUUUUAAAUUAAAAAUUUGUCAAAUAAAUAAAGCAUGAAUUUGACUUUGUUGAAAACCUUCAGCUAUUUAUAGCUUGUAAACAAGUAAAGUUUUCCCACCAAUGUAAUAUUGGUUGCUGAUGUUUUUGCCUGGCAUACAUCUCAUUCUGCCUAGCUGGGCUCAUGUUAAUGGACAAAUGCACCAUACUUUAAUAUUUUACUUUGCCUGAUACCAGACAAAGUAAAAUCUACACAGAGAGAGUUGCAAAUUAAUGAAUGAAUAUAUUUUACAUGAACCUUGAACACCUACUUUUAUAGAGAUUAGGGAGUGGUCAUUAUUUAUGGGGAGGGGGGGGGAAUGGGGAAAAGAAGAAUUGAAAACUUUUUUGACCCCCCCCCUCCAGACUGAAGGCAAACUUUUUGUGCCUCCCCCCUCAUAAAAGUAGAAACUUUUCUGACCCCCCCAGCGUGGAUUGAAAAAUUAACAGCAAUGAAACAGGUGUGUGUUGCAGGUAAAGUUAGAUAUUAGGACAAUCUGUUUAAUCUAGCUCAUGAUACUUUACCCUGGUGAAUACGAUUCAACCAUAUGUGAUUAAAAAUAUAUAUUAUGUGUUACUACUUUACAAUGCAACAUUUGUCCUACCCUAACCCAUGACCUGUCUUCAUACAGCGAAAUGACUUGAACACAGGGUUUUUUAAGACUUUGUCUGGGGGGUGGGCAUCUACAAAAAGGGACCAUACUAUAUUGAGUGUGGAGAGAUGACAGAUGGUUGUUGGUGAGAAAAAGUUUGGUGUGAUAUUGUAUGUACUAGUAAGGGGGUCUGGGGGAAUUCUCCCCCAGAAAAUUUUUUGUAGUUUUCCACCCCUAGAACUGAAAUGUGAGCAUUUUCUGAAACAGAUUUUUGGAUAUACAGCGUUACAUUGUGCGUUGAUAGACCGAAUCUGAUCAGUGAAGUGUACUUGCAUGGUAUGUUUAUGUAAAUACCACAACUGGGUCACUCAGGGGGUAGAAAGCUUGUUAAACGUAGUGGGCCCAACUCCCACGAUUGCGAGGCGCAACCAUGGUUGGCACCGACCAGGGAAAUUUUGAAAAUUUUGAGUCUCUAGAUCGUUGGAAAUAGCAUUUUCAAAGUCUUCCUUUUUGGUAUUUGUGAUUAUAGAAAUCAGAACUCUAGACAUGGUAUUUAAGUUCCAAAACUUUUAUGACCCCCCCUUUCUCUGUGUUAAAACUUUUUUAACCCCCCUAUUUAUAAGGGUAAAACUUCGUUUGCCCCCCUCCCAUUCCCUCCCCCCCUCCUCCCCAUAAAUAAAGACCACUCCCUUAGUACUGUAACUUGCUUUGAAGGGAUAGGGAUACCAUUUGUUUGUGUGAACUGAGUAUGUUAUUGUAUUUCUUAGUGCAAGACAUAGAUGCAUUUUGACCUAACUAAAUCCAAUUGAGUUUACAUCAGACAUUUGCAAAUACUUUUCCCAACCCAUUGCCAAUGUUUGUAUUUUUUAAAGGCAAAAAUAAACUAAAUAGCCUCUAUCUCUACAUAUAACUAUGAUAUAAAUCAUCUAAUUAUUUAUCAUUUGCCGUUACUAUACCCAGGAUUCCAGAGCCUUCGUAAAUAAUAAAUUGAAAUGUCGCGUAGGCUCUGGUUCAACAGGGCGAUUCUUUGAUUAAGCCUCGCCAAUCACAAAACAGAUUUCGUGGUUUUAGUGGAGAAUCUGUACUAAAACCACUAAUUCUGUUUUGUGAUUGGCACGGUUGAAUCAAAGAAUCUCCCCGUUGAACCAGAGCCUUCGCGACGUUUCAAUCUGCACUAAAACCACUAAUUCUGUUUUGUGAUUGGCGCGGUUUAAUCAAAGAAUCUCCCCGUUGAACCCGGAGCCUUCGCGACGUUGCAAUUUAUUAUUUACUGUCGAAGGCUCUGGAAUCCAGGGCAGGGGACCGUUACUACUAUUAUAGCACUAUUCCAUGGCUAUACUAUUGACCAAUAUUUUUAACCAAUAAGCUAAAACUAAUUGCCUUGUGCCCAGGGGUCUGCCUACUAGCCCCAAAACAUGUUUCCUCUGCCAAUUUUUUAAUUUUUAAUACUCAUCGGAUAAUUCAUCAGACUCAAUAUUUGACUGUCUGUGCAGUGUAGGUAGUGUCAAUUAAUAUAGACAAAGUAAUUUUCGUUGGUAUGAAUGGAAUUACCUGAAAAAUAUUAGAAGAAACUCAACGUUUCAUGCGAAGGCCCUUCGUUAGCGCGCAGUUAGUCGAAGGUGACAAAUGGCCUUCGCUCAAAACGUCGAGUUUCUCCUUAUAUUUUUCAAAUAGUUGCAUUCCUACUAACGAAAGUUUUCUUCAUCUAAGUACUUUCCCUAGAAAUUGCUUUUUACCAAAUUACUGACAUCCAAUAUUGCAUUGCACUCUUGAUGAUGUUAAUACAUCAAAUACUCAUCAGAGGCCAGUUGUUCAAAGCUGGAUUAACUCAACCCUAAGUUAACCUAAAAUUCAAAGCAAACUUCCUGACAGCUUGUUUAUAAAUUUGGAAAUAUUUCUUUAGAAAUCUUGUCUGGAUCAGUAUAGGAGUUUGCUUCUUUGAAGUUUUGAAACAGAAAAACUAAAACAGCGGUGACGUACAGCAGGUUAAAUUUUAACCCAAGAUUAGCGCUAAUCCAGCUUUGGACAACUGGCCCCAGGAAUGUAACUGUUUACAUAAACAAAAUCCUAUACAGAUAUGAUAUAUAAUUAUAUAUGCUUUAAAAAUAAAUGUUUUCAGUAUUGUUCUGGAGGUUAGCACUUGGCAUGUGGGAUCUGAUUGUAAAAGUGCUGCACUUUGGAUUGCACACUAAUACUGUAGUUGCAUUUUUUGCAAUGAUUUUCAGAAAUUUUUCCUCUCUCAAAAAUCUGUCCAGGAAACUUUAUUCAAUAGUUUUUUUCUAUUUUUGUUUUUAGGUGUUAGCUGAACUUCACAUAAUUAUAAUCAAGUAAAAUCUGUAAGUAAUAUCAUAUGUAAUUCUAUCACUUCUAUGUAGUUAGAUGCGUAUUGUCUUGUGUCAGGUCAGAUCGAUAUAGGCUGAACUGGUUUGAGAAAUAACUGAAACCAAUACACUGAUUAUCAAACUGAAAUCUUAGAUAUCUUUGAAAUUAAGAAUCAAAAUAGUUAAGUAAACAAAUUAUUACGGCAUAAUUCCAGGUCCAGUAUUGACAUGUGUUAGCUGCCGUUGUAACUCAUCGUGAUUAAUUAAAUUAAUGAUAUUAUUCCUUGUUCUACCUCAAGAAUGGGGGUCCUCUGCAUGCUCUGGUGCCGAGUUGUGUCAGUCAUGUGUGCCGCCCGCAUCAAUCCAUCCCUAGCUAGAGAGCUUGUACACUUUGUUAUGUUAUUUGUAGUGUAGUGGUUCAGGGGGGGGGAGGAUUUAGUUGCUACAAUAUAAGAGAAUUCCCUAUAUAUAAAUGCUUCCCUUUUAUUAGCCCCUGCUGUAUGAAACCCCAAAUCUGUAUAAAGUUCACUGCUUUAGGGGCUUUGGUGGUGCAAUCGUCAGAGCAAGCAUUAUUCACCUCUGAGAUUGUCCUCACAUUGGACUAAAGACACUUAUGUGAAAAGAGUUAGUCAACACUCUACCAAACGUCUGGUUUCCUACCACAGGGAAUGUUGACAGAGUGGGUUGGGAUUAGCCCCUAACUGACACUUCCACCAUACCUGUGCACCAUGACCAGACAUCAGUCAUAAGGUGGCUGCCAGAGUGCCCUUAGUGAGCCUUUGACUCGAUCAUAUGAUAACACUUAUGUUAUGACUCGAUCAUAGGAUAACACUUAUGUGCGCCAACAUGGCUGCCAACAGAAUCUUGAAGCUGCUCAUUAUUUCAAAUGUUUUUAUACUUUUAACGCAUGCUUAUGAGCCUAAAGUACACAGAGCACUUCCUAAAAACACAAUGUUGAAGGAUUGGACUGGAUUGUCAAUGGAUGGAUCAUUUUCAGAAAGAUAUGAACUCAUUUUGCCAGUGAGAUCGCAUAUAGUAAUAUUGCGGUCAAGUCUUGAAUCGAAAUUCAAAAUCGCGCGAGCUAUUACCAAGUGUACGAAGGACGGAUCCACAAGUCUCGUACUGCCAAGGAAACCUUUCAAAGAGGACUUGACUAUAUGCGCUGAUAUAUCACCAAAUCCUGGCCCUGUGAAGUCAAACGACAGCGUUUCGAAUGUAACAUCAAACCAGCGUUUAUCACAGCCCACGACGCCGAACUCUCAUAUCGCCUUAACUCACGUUUACAAACCAUCAUUUCUUCGUUCCUUCCGCCUUUCGCCUUUGUCGAAGCAUAUAGACCACAAUAUAUAUAAUUACAUUCGUACCCUUGGCAUUUUAAAACCUUUCCGCGGUCGCCGCAGUGGAAGAAAAGUUAAAAUACGCAAUAUGACACGGAACUAUAAUCACGUUCAUGGUCACAAUAACAAACGCAAAAUUAGCAUAUCUUCGCAUCAUAUUAAUAGCGUGCCUAAUACAUGUAACAUUUUCCCAAUCCCUGCUGGAGAAACCUCAACCGAUUCGCGACUAUUGAAAGAGACACCGUCUAAAGAGUUUGUCCCAAGCCUAAUGUUAACCAAUGUGAUGUCUCUUGCUCCCCAAAUCGACGAAGUCAGUCUUUUCCUUCUGAACAAAAAUCCCGAUGUAGUAUUUAUCACAGAGACCUGGCUUACAAAUGCUAUCGAUAAAAGCCAUAUCAAUAUUCCCGAAUAUAACGUUGUUUGUAAAAACCGAUCCUCUGGUAGUCACGGUGGCGUUUGUUUAUACUUGAGGAACUCGAUCAGUUACGAAAUUUUAGAUCACUUUCACAACGCCGAAACUGAAGUUCUUUGGGUUAAAAUUAGACCAACCAGACUUCCUCGAGGAUUCCCAUGUAUAAUUACUGGUACCUUAUAUCAUCCCCCAAGUUCGGACAAUAACAUGAUGUUAGAAUACCUUGCAAAGUCUCUUACGGACAUAGAAGGUCAUUAUCCUGGGUGUGGAAUAAUUUUAGCUGGCGACUUUAACCGUCUCAAUGUAAGCAGACUGUCUCGUCAGUUCCGAAUGAAACAACUUGUUCAUCUACACACAAGAGGCGAUCAAACACUAGACCUUAUCCUCACCAAUCUCAAUAAAUACUAUGACAAAAACUCCCUUUCAUCCUUCCCUCCGUUCGGCCUAUCCGACCACAAUGUUUUACUGUUAAAUCCGAAAGAAAGGCGGCUGUUUUCAUCUCGGGAUAGGAAAAAAGUUUUUUGGAAACGCGACACAAGGGAAAUUCGGAAACAAGAAUUGGGACGGUACCUUAGCUCCCUAAACUGGGACAUACUCAACGAUAUUAAGUCGUGCAAUAGGAAAGAACAAUUAUUUGAGGACUUAAUUAAAACUGGACUGGAUAUAAUAAUGCCACUAAAGAAAACAAAAUUACACACCAACAAUCAACCUUGGAUAACACCUGAAUUUAUCACCCUGAUUAAACGCCGACAGGAAGCUUUCGCUCAGAAAAAAAUGUCAGAAUUUCGUCACUACAGAAACCUUGUAAACCGAGAGAGAAAGCGUUUACGUGACAACUACUUUUCCACGAAAGUAAUCCAUCUAAAGGGUGCCAAACCGUCUGUUUGGUGGCGUGAACUGAAGCGUAUUUCAGGUAUGCAGCCCAACAGUAGCAACGUAAACAGUUUUACGCAGCUAAAAUUUAAUGAACAUGAUUAUAAAGGUAACCCAGAGGAAAUUGCAAACAGAAUAAACGAGUCCUUCUUACCACCCAUGCGUGAAUAUAAACCUCUGUCUAGCAACCCAUUCAACAAUGGUGAGUUUGGUCCAGACCUAGAGACUUUUGAAUUGACAGAACUAGAUACAUAUAACCUACUUAGGAGAAUUAAUCCUCGAAAAGCUAGCGGGCCUGAUGGUAUCCCAAACUGGUUGUGUAAAACGUAUGCCGAGAUACUCGCAAAACCAGUCUGUAAUAUUAUCAAUUCUUCUUUUGAUGAACAGAGAUUACCGUCAAUGUGGAAACAUGCUGACAUCAUCCCAGUCCCGAAGGUAAAACCAGCCACUGAUGUCAACAAACAUUUGCGACCGAUCUCCUUGACGCCAUCAAUCUCUAAAGUUGCAGAAGAAUUUGUGAUCACAAAGUACAUAGCGCCUGCUAUAAUGAAUACAUUAGAUCCGGAUCAGUACGGGGCCAUACCAAAGUCCUCUUCAGUGCUUGCCCUGAUCUCAAUGAUCCACGAAUGGUCCCAAGCUACAGACAAAUCUGGCGCAACAGUUAGAGUAACUCUUUUUGAUUAUAGAAAGGCAUUUGACCUAGUUGACCAUUCCAUCCUAAUUAAAAAACUUCAAAACCUGACGUCAUUACCCCGAAAGGUAUGCUCCUGGAUAACCGACUUUUUGUCCAACAGAUACCAAAGAGUGAAGCUUGCUGACGCCCUUUCGUCAUGGAGACACGUCCCCUCAGGAGUACCCCAAGGCACCAAGUUAGGCCCCUGGCUAUUUCUUCUAAUGGUGAAUGACCUACGUGUGAACAGCGUCAGUACGUGGAAGUUUGUUGACGACACGACAAUUUCGGAAAUCAUUCCAAAGAAUUCCCUUACCCACACUCAAUCCGCUACCACGUCUGUUGAGAAAUGGUCUGCAGACAACAAACUGCACUUGAACGCAGAAAAAUGCAAGGAGCUGAGGAUCGACUUUAAGCGUGUUCAUCAGGAGUUUGACCCAAUUAAAGUAGACAACGUUCCACUCAAAAUAGUGGACCACGCAAAAAUCCUGGGCCUGAUAGUCUCAAAAUCAUUACAAUGGAACCUCCAUGUCGACCAUGUCAUCAAGAAAGCGAACAAACGUCUGUAUUGUCUGGUCCAACUCAAACGUGCAAAUGUUCCUGAGGCAGAUAUUGUUAACUUUUAUUGUACCUGUAUUAGACCCACUCUCGAAUACGCAUCACCGGUAUUCCACCACUCUUUACCAAAGUACUUGUCUGACGAUCUUGAGCGAGUACAAAAACGAUCCUUGGCUAUAAUUUACAGAGGGCAGCCAUAUUCAGAGAGCCUGCAGCAAUCUGGACUAAACUCCUUAUCGGUCCGAAGACAAACACUGUGUGAAAAGCUUUUCCUUAAAAUAUCAACUGACAGUGACCAUAAACUCCAUGCACUGCUGCCGCCAAAACACCAAGCGAAAUAUAACUUAAGACACAAACGCCUCUAUGCUCUUCCAAUGACUAACACUAACCGCUUCAGGAACACUUUUGUGCCAUCUAUGAUAUAUUAUAAUAAUUUAGUAGGCUAACAUGUCUAAUAUUUAAAUUUAUAUACUAUUGUAAAAAUCUACGUAAUUCAGCCAAAGUGGCUGCAAAGUGGCUUUUAAUAAAAUAUCUAUCUAUCUAUCGCUCAGGUUGAGCUGCGUCCUUCGCAAUUCAGCUCUCAGCUGCAAGUAAGCAUGAUUAGUACCUAGUACAUGCAAGUAAGGAUGAUUAGAUCCUAACUCCAUUCCUAGUACACCCCCAAUUACUCACUUACUUACUUAACAGGUUAUAAAAUUAAUGGAUUAUUGUAGGUUUAUGUAGAUGGAAAUGUUGAGUGUACAUUUUAUACAUUUAUUAGACCUAACCAGGAGUAUUUGCAAAACUGUAGGCCCUCUAGGAAACAGACAUGUGGCCCUGUGAAUGCAAUUCCAGUGCAGUGCUCUAAGCUGUACUUUGGUACAUGCAAAUUUUGAGUAUAAAUUUUAUAUGUUUAUCCAGGAGCAGUUGCAAAAAGUGCAACUAUGGGCCAGGCUCUGGCAGGAAUGGACCUGUGGCCCAUGACCUUGCAGCUAGGGCUCUACAACAAGAAUCUUUAGCUAGCAUGGCUUAAUUGCCUGAUUCUCGAAAUUUCAUCUAUAAAAAACCUUCAACACUUAGUUCUAUCGAGUGAGAUGCCCUAAAUCCUGAUAACAAUAUUCGUUUCAUGUUUCAAAUUUUGUUUUUAAUAUUUAUUAGCCAUCAACACAAACGAGAAAACCGUUUUGGUUCCAAACUGUAGAAUUCCAGUUGAUGUUGUGAGGAAUGAAAGAUGAUGUCAACCAAUAAUGAACUAUCAGAUGCUCAGCGUAUGUCAUUGCAUGCCAUUAUGUUUUCGAGGC